CCUACGGGGGGCUGCAGUGGGGAAUAUUGCGCAAUGGGGGCAACCCUGACGCAGCAACGCCGCGUGAUUGAAGAAGGCCUUCGGGUUGUAAAGAUCGUUAAGCGGGGACGAAGGUUGACGGUACCCGAAGAAUAAGCGCCGGCUAACUACGUGCCAGCAGCCGCGGUAAGACGUAGGGAGCAAGCGUGAUCCGGAUUUACGGGGUGUAAAGGGCGUGUAGGGGGGCCUGCAAGCCAGAAGUGAAAUCUGGGGGCUUAACCCCCAAACUGCUUUUGGAACUGCGUGUCUUGAGUGCUGGAGAGGCAGGCUGACUUCCCCGUGUAGCGGUGAACUGCGUAGCUAUUGGGAGGAACACCAGUGGCGAAGGCGGCCUGCUGGACCUUACCUGCCGCUGUGGCGCGAAAGCGUGGGGAGCACACCGGAUUAGAUCCCCGAGUAGUC
rnacentral:rRNA from 1 species